rnacentral:rRNA from 1 species
GUGCAGCAGGCGAGAAAACUUCACACUGUGCGAAAGCACGAUGAGGGAAUCCCAAGUGCUUGCACGUAAGUGUAAGCUGUUUCUCUGUCUAAAACGCAGAGAGAGUAAGGGCUGGGUAAGACGGGUGCCAGCCGCCGCGGUAAUACCUGCAGCUCAAGUGGUGACCGUUAUUAUUGGGCCUAAAACGUCCGUAGCCGGUUUAAUAAAUGCCUGGGUAAAUUGUGUAGCUUAACUAUACGAAUUCCGGGUAGACUGUUAAACUUGAGACCGGGAGAAGUUAGAGGUACUCCUGGGGUAGAGGUGAAAAUUCUGUAAUCCUAGGGGGACCACCAGUGGCGAAGGCGUCUAACUAGAACGGGUCUGACGGUGAGGGACGAAGCCCUGGGGCGCAAACGGGAUUAGAUACCCGGUAGU